AGACAGUUCGGUCCCUAUCUACCGUGGGCGCUGGAAAUUUGAGAGGAUCUGCUCCUAGUACGAGAGGACCAGAGUGGACGAACCUCUGGUGUACCGGUUGUGACGCCAGUCGCAUCGCCGGGUAGCUAUGUUCGGAAGGGAUAACCGCUGAAAGCAUCUAAGCGGGAAGCCUACCUCAAGAUAAGAUUUCCCUAGGACUUUAUGUCCUCUAAAGAGCCGUUCGAGACUAGGACGUUGAUAGGUUGGAUGUGGAAGCAUAGUGAUAUGUGAAGCUGACCAAUACUAAUUGCUCGUGAGGCUUGACUAU
rnacentral:rRNA from 1 species